rnacentral:rRNA from 1 species
AACGAACGCUGGCGGCGUGCCUAACACAUGUAAGUCGAACGUGAUUGAGGUGCUUGCACCUCAUGAAAGUGGCGCACGGGUGAGUAACGCGUAGAUAAUCUGCCUGGUGAUUUGGGAUAACACUUCGAAAGGGGUGCUAAUACCGGAUAAGCCCACGAGCUCUUUGGAGCAUGCGGGAAAAGGAGGGGACCUUCGGGCCUUCCGUCAUCAGAUGAGUCUGCGUACCAUUAGCUAGUUGGUAGGGUAAAGGCCUACCAAGGCGACGAUGGUUAGCUGGUCUGAGAGGAUGAUCAGCCACACUGGAGCUGAGACACGGUCCAGACUCCUACGGGAGGCAGCAGUGGGGAAUUUUGCGCAAUGGGGGAAACCCUGACGCAGCAACGCCGCGUGAGUGAUGAAGGCCCUUGGGUCGUAAAGCUCUGACAGAGGGAAAGAAAUGUGGGUGGCUAAUAUCCAUUCCACUUGACGGUACCCUCAAAGGAAGCACCGGCUAACUCCGUGCCAGCAGCCGCCGUAA